rnacentral:tRNA from 1 species
GCGCCGCCUGCAGGUGCGCGUGCGGCUCGCGCGCUGGCACCGUACGGGCGUGUACGAGCCGCUGCGCGCCGCGCGGUCCCUCGCGCGCGGCGCGC